rnacentral:rRNA from 1 species
AAUGAACGCUGGCGGCAGGCCUAACACAUGCAAGUCGAACGGAUCCUUCGGGAUUAGUGGCGGACGGGUGAGUAACGCGUGGGAACAUACCCAAAGGUACGGAAUAGCCUCGGGAAACUGGGAGUAAUACCGUAUGUGCUCGAAAGAGGAAAGAUCUAUCGCCUUUGGAUUGGCCCGCGUUGGAUUAGGUAGUUGGUGGGGUAAUGGCCUACCAAGCCGACGAUCCAUAGCUGGUUUGAGAGGAUGAUCAGCCACACUGGGACUGAGACACGGCCCAGGCUCCUACGGGAGGCAGCAGUGGGGAAUCUUAGACAAUGGGGGAAACCCUGGUCUAGCCAUGCCGCGUGAUCGAUGAAGGCCUUAGGGUUGUAAAGAUCUUUCAGGUGGGAAGAUAAUGACUGUACCACCAGAAGAAGCCCCGGCUAACUCCGUGCCAGCCGCCGCCGUAA